rnacentral:rRNA from 1 species
UANCAUGCAGUCGAGCGGAGUUNAUAANAAGCUUGCUUCUUUGAGACUUANCGGCNGACGGGCUGUAGUAACACGUAGGNAACCUGCCCUUUAGCCUGGGAUAACUACCGGAAACGGUAGCUAAUACCGGAUACUUUCUUUUUCUGCAUGGGAGAAGAACGAAAGACGGAGCAAUCUGUCACUGAAGGAUGGGCCUGCGGCGCAUUAGCUAGUUGNUGGNGUAACGGCUCACCAAGGCGACGAUGCGUAGCCGACCUGAGAGGGUGAUCGGCCACACUGGGACUGAGACACGGCCCAGACUCCUACGGGAGGCAGCAGUAGGGAAUCUUCCGCAAUGGGCGAAAGCCUGACGGAGCAACGCCGCGUGAGUGAUGAAGGUUUUCGGAUCGUAAAGCUCUGUUGCCAGGGAAGAACGUCUUGGAGAGUAACUGCUCUGAGAGUGACGGUACCUGAGAAGAAAGCCCCGGCUAACUACGUGCCAGCAGCCGCGGUAAUACGUAGGGGGCAAGCGUUGUCCGGAAUUAUUGGGCGUAAAGCGCGCGCAGGCGGCCGUUUAAGUCCGGUGUUUAAUCCCGAAGCUCAACUUCGGGUCGCACUGGAAACUGGAGGGCUUGAGUGCAGAAGAGGAGAGUGGAAUUCC